rnacentral:rRNA from 1 species
CCGGCGCACGGGUGAGUAACACGUAUGCAAUCCACCUGUAACAGGGGGAGUAACCCGGAGAAAUCCGGACUAAUACCCCAUAAUAUGGGCGCUCCGCAUGGAGAGUUCAUUAAAGAGAGCAAUUUUGGUUACAGACGAGCAUGCGCUCCAUUAGCCAGUUGGCGGGGUAACGGCCCACCAAGGCGACGAUGGAUAGGGGUUCUGAGAGGAAGGUCCCCCACAUUGGUACUGAGACACGGACCAA